rnacentral:rRNA from 1 species
CUCAAGACGAACGCUGGCGGCGUGCCUAACACAUGCAAGUCGAGCGAGGAGAUCCUUCGGGAUGAUCCUAGCGGCGGACGGGUGAGUAACACGUGGGCAACCUGCCUCAUAGAGAGGAAUAGCCUUCCGAAAGGGAGAUUAAUACCUCAUAACAUUGCAGUUUCGCAUGGAACAGCAAUUAAAGGAGCAAUCCGCUAUGAGAUGGGCCCGCGGCGCAUUAGCUAGUUGGUGAGGUAACGGCUCACCAAGGCGACGAUGCGUAGCCGACCUGAGAGGGUGAUCGGCCACAUUGGGACUGAGACACGGCCCAGGCUCCUACGGGAGGCAGCAGUGGGGAAUAUUGCACAAUGGGGGAAACCCUGAUGCCAGCAACGCCGCGUGAGUGAUGACGGCCUUCGGGUUGUAAAGCUCUGUCUUCAGGGACGAUAAUGACGGUACCUGAGGAGGAAGCCACGGCUAACUACGUGCCAGCCGCCGC